rnacentral:lncRNA from 1 species
AGCUGCUGGGAGGAGGCGCAAGCACCACGGAGAGUCUGGGAUGCCCAGCCAAGGAGCCCUGGAAGGGUUGCCCUGGGGACUGACACUGUGGGCUCUGUGUUUUAGCCAAGUCACCCAGGCAGCUGAACAGAAGAUGGACUGGAGGGAGAAGCCUGGAUGUAGAUCGCUCAGCAACAAAGGAGCCAGAAAAGGCAAGGUGUACACACCGUGUGUAGCAUGGGCGAGCUGCAGGCAUGCAAACUUCUGAGUCCUAACCAUGGCUGGUGGCUCUUCCAGGAACAUGGUUUCCUGGACCCAAAACUGAGCAACUUCCGCCUCUUCCAGCCUCCCUCACGGGAAUCACAGAUCACGUGAGAUGACACCCAUGAAGGGCUUGACUGGCGUCUAGCACAUGGUGAGGACUGCAAAAAUGU